GGAAAAAUCCAAACAACUUCUAUGUUAUUUUAAGAGUCCCAAUAAUGCAAGAAACAGAAAGACUCAGAAAGAAGAUGCCACGGGAGAAACGGCCAGAUCCACUGAACUUUGUCCAGGAUGAUAUUUACAUCCUUCCUGGUAUAAAUCAAAAUCUUUUGAGAGUUUUCAUGAGGAGGAAGAAAUAAACCUGAGUGGUGGGUGAAGUCAUGAACAACUGAGAGGCAGCUGGGUCAGAAGCUGAGUGGGAGGAAGAAGGAUCAGCUUUUUCAGCUCAUAGCUCAGAUAUAGCCUUUGUGUUCUUGGACAAUUUACAUUGCAAUUUAACAUAUUUGCAUCUUUACCUGAUAAGAAUAAAGAAAACUGCACAUUGC